rnacentral:rRNA from 1 species
GACGAAGGAUCCAAGCGUUGUCCGGAUUUACUGGGUUUAAAGGGUGCGUAGGCGGAAAAUUAAGUCAGUGGUGAAAGCCCGCAGCUCAACUGUGGAACUGCCAUUGAAACUGAUUUUCUUGAAUAUAGCUGAGGCAGAUGGAAUAUAACAUGUAGCGGUGAAAUGCUUAGAUAUGUUAUAGAACACCGAUUGCGAAGGCAGUCUGCUAAACUAUUAUUGACGCUGAGGCACGAAAGCGUGGGGAGCGAACAGG